ensembl:Y_RNA Y_RNA Y RNA
CGCUGGCCCAAAGGUAGUGAGUUAUCUCAAUUGAUUGUUCACAGUCAGUUACAGAUCGAACUCCUUGUUCUACUCUUCCCCACUUUUUACUACUGCACCACUUGACUAGUCUUUU